AGCGGCGGACGGGUGAGUAACGCGUGGGUAACCUGCCCUGUACACACGGAUAACAUACCGAAAGGUAUGCUAAUACGAGAUAAUAUGCUUUUAUCGCAUGGUAGAAGUAUCAAAGCUUUUGCGGUACAGGAUGGACCCGCGUCUGAUUAGCUAGUUGGUAAGGUAACGGCUUACCAAGGCGACGAUCAGUAGCCGACCUGAGAGGGUGAUCGGCCACAUUGGAACUGAGACACGGUCCAAACUCCUACGGGAGGCAGCAGUGGGGAAUAUUGCACAAUGGGCGAAAGCCUGAUGCAGCAACGCCGCGUGAGCGAUGAAGGCCUUCGGGUCGUAAAGCUCUGUCCUCAAGGAAGAUAAUGACGGUACUUGAGGAGGAAGCCCCGGCUAACUACGUGCCAGCAGCCGCGGUAAUACGUAGGGGGCUAGCGUUAUCCGGAAUUACUGGGCGUAAAGGGUGCGUAGGUGGUUUCUUAAGCCAGAGGUGAAAGGCUACGGCUCAACCGUAGUAAGCCUUUGAAACUGGGAAACUUGAGUGCAGGAGAGGAGAGUGGAAUUCCUAGUGUAGCGGUGAAAUGCGUAGAUAUUAGGAGGAACACCAGUUGCGAAGGCGGCUCUCUGGACUGUAACUGACACUGAGGCACGAAAGCGUGGGGAGCAAACAGGAUUAGAUACCCUGGUAGUCCACGCCGUAAACGAUGAGUACUAGCUGU
rnacentral:rRNA from 1 species